AUGAAGUGUUUAAACUAUGCCUGGCAUACAGUAAGUCCUCUCUAUGGGAAAAGCUGCCAUCAUCAUAAUCACCAUCACCAUCAACAUCACCAUCAACAUCAUCACCAUCAACAUCAUCAUCACCAUCAACAUCACCAUCUCCAUCACAUCAUCAUCACAUCAACAUCAUCAUCAACAUCACCAUCUCCAUCAACAUCAUCACCAUCAACAUCAUCAUCAACAUCACCAUCUCCAUCAACAUCACCAUCAACAUCACCAUCAUCAUCAUCACUGCUCUCAUCUCCAUCACCAUCAACAUCAUCACCAUCAACAUCAUCUUCACCAUCACCAUCACCAUCACAUCACCAUCUCCAUCACCAUCACCAUCACCAUCAUUACCACCAUCACCUCCAUCAACAUCACCAUCACCAUCUCCAUCAACAUCAUCAUCAACAUCAACAUCAACAUCAACAUCAACAACAUCAUCAACAUCACCAUCACAUCAUCAUCAACAUCAACAUCAUCACCAUCACCAUCUCCAUCAACAUCAUCAUCAACAUCAGCAUCAUCAUCACCAUCACCAUCACCAUCUCCAUCAACAUCACCAUCUCCAUCAACAUCAUCAUCAACAUCAACAUCAUCAUCAACAUCAACAACAUCAUCAACAUCAUCAUCAACAUCACCAUCUCCAUCAACAUCAUCAUCACCAUCACCAUCUCCAUCACCAUCAACAUCACCAUCAUCACCAUCACCAUCUCCAUCAACAUCACCAUCUCCAUCAACAUCAACAUCAACAUCAACAUCAACAACAUCAUCAACAUCAGCAUCAUCAUCAACAUCAACAACAUCACCAUCAACAUCAUCAUCACCAUCACCAUCUCCAUCACCAUCAACAUCACCAUCAUCACCAUCACCAUCUCCAUCAACAUCAUCACCACUAUCACCUCCAUCAACAUCACCAUCACCAUCUCCAUCAACAUCAACAUCAUCAUCAACAUCAACAACAUCAUCAACAUCACCAUCACAUCACCAUCACCAUCUCCAUCAACAUCACCAUCUCCAUCAACAUCAUCAUCAACAUCAACAACAUCACUAUCAACAUCAACAUCACCACUAUCAACAUCAUCAUCACCAUCACCAUCUCCAUCACCAUCAACAUCACCAUCAUCACCACCACCAUCUCCAUCAACAUCAUCACCACUAUCACCUCCAUCAACAUCACCAUCACCAUCUCCAUCAACAUCAACAUCAUCAUCAACAUCAACAUCACCAUCGCCAUCUCCAUCAACAUCAUCAUCAACAUCAACAUCAUCACCAUCAACAUCAUCAUCACCAUCACCAUCUCCAUCAACAUCACCAUCAACAUCAACAUCAUCACCAUCUCCAUCAACAUCAUCAUCACCAUCAUCACCACCAUCACCUCCAUCAACAUCAUCACCACUAUCACCUCCAUCAACAUCAUCAUCACCAUCUCCAUCAACAACAUCAUCACCGUCUCCAUCAACAUCAUCACCAUCAGCAUCAUCAUCGCCAACACUAUCACCAUCAUCAUCAUCACUGCUCUCAUCUCCAUCACCAUUCACCGUCACCAUCUACUCUGGGCCAGAUGCGACACAUCUUAUGGGAAGUGUCAUUGAUCCCGUUUCCCAGAUGAGGAAAUUGAGCCUGCGAGAGUCAACACGCACAGACUUAUUCGUUGUGCCAAUAAUUAAUUAG
ensembl:lncRNA